UCCGAAAUCAACCAAUUAAAGCCCAAAUCGUAUAAUAGUUUCUCUCUAACUCCUCCCACUGAGAUGACCCAUAGUACCCCAUUCCUUGCUGCAAUGUAAUUAUAUUUAAUUACAAGUGUGCCCCUGGUAGUCUUUAACUGAAGGGCACUGACUGGGUCACUGGUGAAGUUCCCCGCAGGAACUGAGUCAGACCCCAUCUCAGGGCCCUGCACAAGAUAGGUGCCUGCUCUAAGGCGUGGACCCUCGCCACAGCCCUGGCCCGUCUUGACGGGCGAGGGUUACUGUACUUGUCCCAACCGUACAGAUGAGAAAGCUGAGACUCAGGGCCAGCAACCCGGGUCCCAGCGGAGCGCCCGGCACACGCCGACACUUCAGCACCAGUGGCGGUGGCCACCACUGUGGGCGGAGAUGGCUGCGACGCGUGCGCAGAUCUCGAUCCCAAACUCCCUCCUGCCAGAAUCUGGACCCGAAUCCACCCAUUGCCCGUUUUCCGCUGCCGCUGGAGAGAAUCUCUGAGGUCCCCAGGAGAGCCUGCCUGCACGGAAGAGACGCCUCCUCGGUAUGGCCGCCCCCGGAGAGGAGCGAUUAAGUGCAGACCUCCUUGUUGCUCUUGAGCCUGAGCGGCUUCAGGGAGCCAUGUUUGUUACUGGCGGGCGCCGACCUCACUGAGCAUGUGCAGCCCUGGCCGGGCGGCCUCAAAGUUCUGACAUCACAGGGCGGUUCCUGAAGUGGACGUAGUUGUAAGAGCUAGUUAUUUUAGACAAUGCCUCUGGGAUCAGGGACUCUAAUCUGGAAAUAGGUAGUCGGAGAGGUCGGUGAUGCAGUCUCUGGAUCAGAGACCUGAGCUAUAUGGGGUUAGAGAGGGGCCCUGGGCAGGCGAGUCUCUGGGGAGUGUGGUGAGAAUCCUUGUGUAAGAUGCUGGGAGGAGGUGGGGUCAGGGCUGGGGUCCGUGGGCCGACGGGUUGGGGGAUGGCCAGCGUCAGGGAUCAGUAGUAGAGAUUCUAUGUGCCCUGAUCGCCAGUGGAGGUUUUAAAUACAGAGUAUUCAUGAGUUUAGCAAUGUUUUUCGCCUCUCAUUAUUUAAAUAAUUUGAAGUUUUCCCCAAUAACUAGUGUCUUAGAAGUCAUGAAAAUUUCAGAAAAUGACAGGUCUUCUGAGUUCGUGAUGGGAGUUGGGCAGCAGUCGCAUACGAGCACCUGGAGAGUCCUUGCCAGUUCUUUGGGGAUGGGGAGCUCUUAAGACUGCCCUGAGACCGCCCUUUGACCUCAUUGUGGUCCUUUCUAGAUUAAAUGCUGUUUUCCAUGACCGUCUCUGUUCUUCCCAUACGGGAAUGGCAGGCAUUCAGAUCUCCAAGAAUAGAGGAUUAGGAGAGACUCCACCACCUAUGUCCUCACAGUUAAUUAUCGAUUUGUGUCAGUUGCCCAUUUUCUCACUUCCUGUUUGUGUGUCAAGGGGUAUUAAUAAAUCUUUGCCUAUUUAAAGAUAUUAGCCUUGGAUUUUCAAAUAUUGCAUAUUUUGACAUGUAAAAAUUUGUUAGUUUUAUUUUUUCAACCGAUCUGACCUGUAUAGUUGGGCUUGAGGAAGCUUCCUCAUUCUACAUGUUACUAUGGAUUUUCUAAUAUUAACACAGGGUUGUAUUUUUUCCAUAUAACUUUCUAUUGAAUUUCUUUUUCCAUAUGAUAGGUGGUGAAGGUUUAGCCCAGUAAAGCAGAGAGGUUAAGAGGUUAGAUUGGGGGCUCUGGAGCCAGACCUGUGUAGAUCUGAGUCGUGGCUCUGGCACUUGAAAGCCGUGUGACCUUGGUUAAGAUACUUAGUCCCUCUCUGCCAAAUGGAGAAAUAAGGGCACCUACCCCAUAGGGUAGUUGUGUGAUUACACAAGUUAAUACACUUCAAUCAGUAGCAAGAAAGUGAAUGUCAAGCUGUAUUUGUUCAGGCAGCCAUAUGGUAGCCCCACGUCCUUAGUAAACUGAGGUAUUGAAGUAUCUUCUUUUUCUUUCAGAAAAUAUUUGUCAAGCACCUUCUGUGUUCAAAGAACUGUUCUAGAGCUUUGCAUGCUAUGGAGGUCUAGAAAUUCACAUUAUGGUGGCAGGUGACAGACAAUACAAAGAGAUAAAGCAAUUUCAUAUAGUGAUAAGCUAGGGAGGAGUGCUAAAAGGAGCCAAGGUGUAGUGGUGACUGGAAGGUGACCAGGGAAACCACUGUAGGGUUUCUAAGUGAUGAGAUCUGUGACAAAUCCCUGUGGUCAGCAGCAGGCAUUGGAUAUGUAACUUUAUUCUGUCCCAUUGAUCUUGUAGUCAACCCUGGUCUGUUCUGUAUUGUUUUAAUUACAUAAUCUUUGUAAUAAUCUUUAAUACCUGG
rnacentral:lncRNA from 1 species